rnacentral:rRNA from 1 species
UCAAAAACAUGUCCUAUUGUAUAAUAAUUUUAGGUUUGACCUGCCCCCUGAUUUAUUAAAUGGCCGCGGUAUUUUGACCGUGCUAAGGUAGCAUAAUCAUUAGUUUCUUAAUUAGAAGCUGGAAUGAAAGGUUGGAUGAAAAAAUUUCUGUCUCUAUUUAAAUUAAUUAUAAUUUUAUUUUUUAGUUAAAAAGCUAAAAUAAUUUUAAAAGACGAGAAGACCCUAUAGAGUUUUAUAUUUAAGUAUUUUAAUAUUUAUUGGUAUAUAAAUUUUUAAUUUAAUUAAAUAUUUGAUUGGGGUGAUUAAAAAAUUAAUUAAACUUUUUUUAUAAAUUUUACAUUAAUUAGUGAUUGGUUGAUCCAUUUUUUAUGAUUAUAAGAUUAAAUUACCUUAGGGAUAACAGCGUAAUAUUUUCAGAGAGUUCUUAUCGAAGAAAAAGUUUGCGACCUCGAUGUUGGAUUAAAAUUAAUUUUUGGCGUAGCAGUUAAAAAAUUAGGUCUGUUCGACCUUUAAAAUUUUACAUGAUCUGA